rnacentral:rRNA from 1 species
ACGAAGGGUGCAAGCGUUACUCGGAAUUACUGGGCGUAAAGCGUGCGUAGGUGGUUCGUUAAGUCUGAUGUGAAAGCCCUGGGCUCAACCUGGGAAUGGCAUUGGAUACUGGCGACCUAGAGUGCUGUAGGGGCAGGCGGAAUUCCGGGUGUAGCGGUGGAAUGCGUAGAGAUCCGGAGGAAGACCGGUGGCGAAGGCGGCCUGCUGGGCAGUUACCGACACUGAGGCGCGACAGCGUGGGGAGCAAACAGGA